rnacentral:other from 1 species
CGAGCGAGCCGAGCGAGCCGAGUGGCGCUCCGGGCGCCCGGGGAAGGGAGAUCCGGAGCGAAAGGGGGCUUCGCCUCCGACCCAGCUGCCCCCACCCCACCCGGACCGCCUACCCCUGCCAACGGGGCGCAACCCCCGGCGCCCCCACGAAACUUUGCCCGUUGCCGCGGGCGGACGCUUUCCCCUGGAACUUACAAGACCCGAGGGAGAGCGCGACUCUCCGGACGCGGAGAGGCUGUUCUGCCUAUUUGGGGAGACACUUCUCCCCGCCGC